CUACUUCACUGCUUGCAGAUUUUUAGCGCUGUUCUUCUUUACUUCUUUUCCCUUUUUCUUUGAAAUUGGAGAUUUUUCAUUAAUUUUUUCCUCCUUCUCAUGGCUGUAUAAAAAGUUAUAGUAGAUGCGUUGUCUGAAACUGUGCGCAUAUAUAUAAAUACACGUAUCGAUAUACUUAUACUUACAUGUAUAUCCAUUCAUCACAACGGCCACACCAUCAUGGUUUAAUGGGUCGUGUUCUCUGAUUAUAAAAGAACAUUAGUUUUCGAGUUUUUUUAAAUAACUUUUUGUUGGGCUUUCUCACAAUUCAGUUGUUCAGAAAAGGAGAUAACUGAAAAUCCGCAUAGAAAAUGAACUACAACAAUGAGAAUAACCGUGACAUGUGGGAUUGGCAAGGCCAGGACUAUGAUCUUGAAGAUAAUGCCAGCACAGACAUAUCCAAAUGCCUGUUGAAUGGAGUGAACCAAAAUGAAGACCAUCUUUCUUGUGCGUUCGAUAGUGCAACUACACCAGUCAAGGCUUGUGGGGAUUUAGCUUACCAUGUAACCAACAGUG